CGUGACCGCUGCCGCGCCCGCCCCGCUCCGCCAUUUUGAACGCGACCCACUCCCUCCCUCACCUCGGCCUUAUCGGCAUGCAAAUGUGUUUUGUGACCCGGACACAUCCCCAGGAAUGUGAAAUGUGCCAUGAGGUGCCUUGGAAAACUUUAUCUCUUUAUCCGAAGUACUUUCUGUGUUUGGUGUCCCUCCCUGUGACAAGGGGUCGGAAUGAGAUGAUCUUUAAGGUCCCUCCCAACCAAACCAUUCCACGAUUCUUUUCGCCCUUGCAGUGACCUUUCUUGGCUCUGAAUUCCCAGAGAAUUGGCGCUCGGGAGCGCUGUUAUUUUUGUCUCACAUUGAGAGAGCUGGGGUUUGAUAUUCCCGAGCUGUGGAAAACAGCAUUGCAGGGGGUCCCGAUGGACACAGAACUGCUGGGGAAAUUUGGUGUCAAUUCUGAAUGUCUCUGCUUUCACUGAAAUCUGUCUCAUGUCCGUUGACCACAGGGAAACCAGCUGUAAAAACUACUUAAAAAAAAGAAAUAACUAGGUUUAUUAACCAGGUUUUUAUUUAUUUUUGACCGUUAAAAGUUUCUGCAACUUCUGACGUGCAAGAUAAUUCUGGCACAGGUCAUACAUUGAUGCAGCUUGCACAGAACACAUCAUAACAUCCUCCAAGGACAGUAACAAAUUCCCAUUUCCCCUGGCAAAAGGGUACCAAAAAAGCAAAUAAAAUUUAUACACCUGCCUUUCAUGAAAGACUUUGAUAAAUAUUUCUCGUAAAAUCGGCAGCACAGCCGUAACUUUCAGUCCUAUAAGGACAUAAAAACGAGCUCUUGCCUUUACAAAAGGCACGCACGCAUCCUGAACCUCACAAACAGCCCUGGCUCGUGAGCAAGACAUCCCGAGGAAUUUCCUCUACAUAGUUUGGGAUAUGGUUUAACCAUUCUCAGAGCAUGCUCAGUACAGACUAUAAAUAUUAUAGAACCCCUUAUGGCACCGUGGGAAGGCCAGAUUCCCAAAUGUGUCCGGUCAGACCCCAGGGCAUUCCAGGUGUGGAUACCCUGGGACCCCGAGGAGUCAGAGGAAAAGGCUCCUCCCACAGGGACAUUUUUGGGAAUUCUGACCGUCCCAGGGGUUACAGCUUUCCCAGCAGAGGUACAAGGACAACCUCGCAGAGGUUAAGAACAGCCGUCGUUCCCCUCCGAACGACCCCUCCAGCCCUCCCAGCAGGGGGAUACAGCUCACAUUCCCUCAGAACAACUUUCUCUCCACGCGGUGGGAUCGUUCCAGUCCUUCUGGGAGAAGGGGAGCUCACAUCCAAGCAGAGCAAUGCCCUGCAAAGGGGAAACAUUCUUCCCUACUCAUGAGAGGAGUGGGGGCGACUUGUAGAGCAAGUCACGGUCUCCUCUGGAAUACGGGCAAAUGUCCAUGAAUCACGGAACCUGAACUGCCAAGGCCUCCCGAGGCUUUGGAAUCGCUUCGGUGCUGCUGGUUUUGCAGGAGGCUGGUGGCUGGAGGUGGGUGCCGAGGAAGAUCCAGAGUCCCCAGGUGCCACCUGUGACCUUCGGGAGUGGCAGCUCAGCUUCCCCCGCGUUCCUGCGCCCGUGGAACGGGAAUUGCAGAGCAGCUCUGGGGCACUGCCCGUCAGGAUAAUCCUGCUGCGGGCUCUUGGCAGGAGCUGCAAAAGCUGGGAGGGCAGGAGAGGAGGAAAGUGUUACACGGGGAAGCGCCGGCUGGAGUUUGUCCCAAAGGAAAAGGCAGUGAGAGGGAUGGGGGAUGUGAUGGGGAGCACUCACCUCGCCCGGAUUCCGGGGCGCUCACAGCCAUCCCCAGGAUGUCGCCUUUCCGCAGCUCGGAGUUGGGCUGGUGCCUCUGAAAUCCCUUCCCCAGGGGCAGUUCCAGCUGCUGUAAAUCCGAUCUGGGAUUCCCGGAGCUGUAACACAGAAGGGGAAGAAGGGAAGGUGAGCAGCGAGGCUCUGACCGCCCGAAAGGGUGCGGCCCUUCCCGGCUCUCCAGCAGAUACUCACUCUGUGCUUCCCUCUGGGCGAUGGGAUGUCCAGGGAGAGAGCGUUAUCCCAAGGACUGCUUUCAGCUCGGAGUGGAGAAGGCAGCCGGGACCUGCCCUAUUUAUACGCAGGGGCCGCAUACAAAAGUCUGGGUCCGGAGCGACUCGGAGUUUCCCACAGUCGCCAGCCAAUCCAUGCGUGCCCGGGACAAUGGGAAAGCAUCCAUUACAGCAUGGCAAAUUGACUGUGAAUUGCCUGGGGAUAAUACCCCGCUCCCAAAGGAGCAGGUGGGCUGGGGAGUGUGUGACACAAUAGGGUUUGGCAUCGCGGCGCUGGGCAGGGAACGUGGGAAAGCGUUCGCCGUCAUUAUCAUCCAGCUUCUGCCUGAUGUUGGGAACGUCAACAUCUCAAUGUGCUGCCUUUUCCCAGGCUGUGUUGAAAUUAAGCACAGAAGACUGAUCCCAGGAAGAGAUAAUGCUCUGCACCCCAAAGAGAGGUUGAGAAGGGAAAGAUGCAGAAUUAGAGGGACUAAACCCUUUCAUUGACAUUAAACCGUGCUUAGAUGAAUACAGUACCAGCUAAUUUUCAGGCAACGAGAGCCUAAAAUCGAGGGAAGAGCCCUUCAGACAGUCAGCCUGAAAUAUUUUCCUCGCCAUUGUUUAAAAUCCCUCUCUAAGUUAUAUCCAGAGCUUUUCCUUGCUUUUGUUCGGGUAAUCUGGGCUUUCCUACGGCAGCCCGUGACAUGUAAUGAUUGUGAUGUCUUUCCCAAACACGUCCUGUUUAAUUUCAUGCCACUUUGUAAAUGCCUCACUGUUCCUGAGUCUCCACCUAAAUAUAUUUCCCAUUUACAGACAA